CCUACGGGAGGCAGCAGUGGGGAAUAUUGGGCAAUGGGCGCAAGCCUGACCCAGCAACGCCGCGUGAAGGAAGAAGGCUUUCGGGUUGUAAACUUCUUUUCUCAGGGACGAAGCAAGUGACGGUACCUGCGGAAUAAGCCACGGCUAACUACGUGCCAGCAGCCGCGGUAAUACGUAGGUGGCAAGCGUUAUCCGGAUUUACUGGGUGUAAAGGGCGUGUAGGCGGGAAAGCAAGUCAGAUGUGAAAACCAUGGGCUCAACCCUGAGCCUGCAUUUGAAACUGUGUUUCUUGAGUGCUGGAGAGGCAAUCGGAAUGCCGUGUGUAGCGGUGAAAUGCGGAGAUAUACGGAGGAACACCAGUGGCGAAGGCGGAUUGCUGGACAGUAACUGACGCUGAGGCGCGAAAGCGUGGGGAGCAAACAGGAUUAGAUACCCCAGUAGUC
rnacentral:rRNA from 1 species